AGCGAACGCUGGCGGUAGGCCUAACACAUGCAAGUCGAACGGCAGCACCGUAAGAGCUUGCUCUUAUGGGUGGCGAGUGGCGGACGGGUGAGGAAUACAUCGGACUCUACUUUUUCGUGGGGGAUAACGUAGGGAAACUUACGCUAAUACCGCAUCCGCUCCACCGGUGAAAGCAGGGGAUCUUCUGACCUUGCGCGAUUGAAUGAGCCGCUGUCGGAUUAGCUAGUUGGCGGGGUAAUGGCCCACCAAGGGGACGAUCCGUAGCCGGUCGGAGUGGAGGGUCGGCCACACUAGAACGUGAACACGGUCCAGGCUACUACGGGAGGCACCAGUCGGGAAUAUUAGGCAAUGGGCGCGAGCCUGGCCCAGCCAGACCGCGUGGGAGAAAGAGACCUUGGGGUUGUAAAGCCCGUUUGUGGGGAGAGAAAAGCAGCAGGUUAAGACCCCGCUGGUCUGACGGUACCCAAAGAAUAAGCACCGGCUAACUUCGUG
rnacentral:rRNA from 1 species